GUCCUCAUUGAGGCGCCUUUGGUCGCGGAUGCGCGGAGAGGAGCUUCCCCUACCAGAGGGGCAGAAGAUGGAGCGGAGGCCCUCAGAGAGCAGCAGUUUGGGGAAGGAGAAGUUGGCAGGGACGCGGCCCAGCAGCAUCUCGCUGGAAAGAAAAGAAAAGAAAAGAAAAGAAGAAGAAACUUGAAUUAUUGAGGAUGCGAGGAAUCCAAAAGGAGGAACUCGGUUGUGAGCUGGUACAGUUUCUACAAGGGCUCCAGGGAGCUGCCUUUCCCAGCCCCGCAGGACGGAUAUACGUGACGGAGGAGAUGAGCUUGCGAUCUUCUGGAUGGAAGCAAGGGAACCCGUUCUGAAUUCUCCCAUUAAGCAAUGGAAGUUUUUUAUUUUUAUUUUUAUAUUAGAGGCUGGAAGAAGAGAAACCAUUUACCGUGCAAUCAUGACCCCUGAAACUCCGCUCUGCAUGGCUUGGUUAGCAUCUUCGAAAGAAAAAAUA